GUAGUAGUACUGACCUCGGAUCGCUGUCCACCCAUCCUGUAUCACCCGACGUCAGUAAUCCACACCAUCCUGCAUUAGCCGGCGUCGUUGGUCCCAAUGCCUGCGUAACCGAACACUCCCACCAAUAUUUGCAGCUUACGAAACAGUACCGACCCCACAACGCUGCCGACCCGUCCUGCAGCACCGGACGUAGGAAUCGCACGCCAUAUUGCGUUAGCCGUCGUCGUGGGUCCCAACUCAUUCGUGUCCAAUCACAUCCACCACUAUUCACAGUGUACGAAAUGAGUAGAGACGCGCUGUUCUCCAUUGUAUAUCAAUGACAUGGUCACUCAUCUGGAAAGUAUUAAUGCUGUGGAAAAGCUACUGGAGAUUGACGCGAUCGGGUUCGGUUUCGUCAAGAGGAUUCCAAAAUGGGCAGUAAAGCAAAGUGUAAUGAAACAACUCGCGAGGGCAUAUGAUGUGGAGACAAAUACACUUAUAGUGGACGUUGGAAACAUCCGCAUCAAUUUUGAGUUGAUAGGGAAGGCGUUAGGCAUACGCAACGGGGUGAUGCCAUACCCGAACUUAAGAAGAAGAAUCCUGCCCAUCUCGCCAUCAAAGCACAGUUUCAGAAAAAGACAACUACCCAUUUGCGUGCCUUUGUGUUUACCUGUCCUAUGGAUAUUGAUGCGCAAUGGGCAGAUUUCAUAAGGCACUUCAUCCUAGUGGUGCUGAAGAUGUUCUUAUCUCCAACGAGUCAACAAACCAUUUCCCCGUGGCACAUCCCUUCUAUUCUUGAUGUGACCGACCCCAGAAGAUUCAAUUGGGCUCACAAAACAUUCAAGUAGUUGGGGCUAGCAAUUAAGAAAUUCAAAUCUAAGAACCACGAAACUUGUGGUGGUUGCAUGUUCGCCUUUUUGCUAUUAUAAUUUUAGCGAUUGCAGCAUGGUCCACUCGAUCGCUGUCGAGAAUAAGAACCAUGGGUCAAUGCAUGGACUACUGCAAAACUUAAGAAGAAAGCCGCCAAUGUGCUUGCUGAGGGUUGCAUCGGAGAUAGAAAGAAAGGGUGCAAGGAAUUAGCCUCUACUAAACAAAGCCAACGGAGGGCACGCAAGAAUAGAGGGGCGCACAAGGAGACCCGAAUAGGCACGCGAAAAAAGUUGCCGAUCGUCAUAGGCAAAUCCUGCGAAUACAGCACAGCAGCUCAUGAAGGCCUAAGUUGCAACGAUAGACCUGUUGUACCUUCAGACUCCGACGAAGACAAUGAUGUGCCCAUUGCUCAAAGAAGGCGCCGACCUGUUGUGCCUUUAGACUCGGACAAAGACGAUGAUGUGCCCAUUGCUCAUAGAAGGCGCCGACUGUUCCAAGACGACUUGAACUCGAAUAGUGACCAUGUAAUGAGGAAGACAGUACGUUUGUUCCACAUAAUCAGAUCCAAUUAUAUCCUCUUCAGCACUUGUGGAAGUUAAUGAUUACGAUUUUGACAGGCAAGUUCUAGAAAUAACAAUCUGUUUGGGAUGACAUUUUCCCAUACCUCAUUUGUACUGCAAUUUAAAUCCCACUACAACUACAGUUAGCUUACUACAAA